rnacentral:rRNA from 1 species
GAUGAACGCUGGCGGCGUGCCUAAUACAUGCAAGUCGAGCGAACGGACGAGAAGCUUGCUUUUCUGAUGUUAGCGGCGGACGGGUGAGUAACACGUGGAUAACCUACCUAUAAGACUGGGAUAACUUCGGGAAACCGGAGCUAAUACCGGAUAAUAUUUUGAACCGCAUGGUUCAAAAGUGAAAGACGGUCUUGCUGUCACUUAUAGAUGGAUCCGCGCUGCAUUAGCUAGUUGGUAAGGUAACGGCUUACCAAGGCAACGAUGCAUAGCCGACCUGAGAGGGUGAUCGGCCACACUGGAACUGAGACACGGUCCAGACUCCUACGGGAGGCAGCAGUAGGGAAUCUUCCGCAAUGGGCGAAAGCCUGACGGAGCAACGCCGCGUGAGUGAUGAAGGUCUUCGGAUCGUAAAACUCUGUUAUUAGGGAAGAACAUAUGUGUAAGUAACUGUGCACAUCUUGACGGUACCUAAUCAGAAAGCCACGGCUAACUACGUGCCAGCAGCCGCGGUAAUACGUAGGUGGCAAGCGUUAUCCGGAAUUAUUGGGCGUAAAGCGCGCGUAGGCGGUUUUUUAAGUCUGAUGUGAAAGCCCACGGCUCAACCGUGGAGGGUCAUUGGAAACUGGAAAACUUGAGUGCAGAAGAGGAAAGUGGAAUUCCAUGUGUAGCGGUGAAAUGCGCAGAGAUGUGGAGGAACACCAGUGGCGAAGGCGACUUUCUGGUCUGUAACUGGCGCUGAUGUGCGAAAGCGUGGGGAUCAAACAGGAUUAGAUACCCUGGUAGUCCACGCCGUAAACGAUGAGUGCUAAGUGUUAGGGGGUUUCCGCCCCUUAGUGCUGCAGCUAACGCAUUAAGCACUCCGCCUGGGGAGUACGACCGCAAGGUUGAAACUCAAAGGAAUUGACGGGGGCCCGCACAAGCGGUGGAGCAUGUGGUUUAAUUCGAAGCAACGCGAAGAACCUUACCAAAUCUUGACAUCCUUUGACAACUCUAGAGAUAGAGCCUUCCCCUUCGGGGGACAAAGUGACAGGUGGUGCAUGGUUGUCGUCAGCUCGUGUCGUGAGAUGUUGGGUUAAGUCCCGCAACGAGCGCAACCCUUAAGCUUAGUUGCCAUCAUUAAGUUGGGCACUCUAAGUUGACUGCCGGUGACAAACCGGAGGAAGGUGGGGAUGACGUCAAAUCAUCAUGCCCCUUAUGAUUUGGGCUACACACGUGCUACAAUGGACAAUACAAAGGGCAGCGAAGCCGCGAGGUCAAGCAAAUCCCAUAAAGUUGUUCUCAGUUCGGAUUGUAGUCUGCAACUCGACUACAUGAAGCUGGAAUCGCUAGUAAUCGUAGAUCAGCAUGCUACGGUGAAUACGUUCCCGGGUCU